rnacentral:rRNA from 1 species
AUUGAACGCUGGCGGCAUGCCUUACACAUGCAAGUCGAACGGCAGCACGGGAGCAAUCCUGGUGGCGAGUGGCGAACGGGUGAGUAAUGUAUCGGAACGUGCCCAGUCGUGGGGGAUAACGCAGCGAAAGCUGUGCUAAUACCGCAUACGAUCUAUGGAUGAAAGCGGGGGAUCGCAAGACCUCGCGCGAUUGGAGCGGCCGAUAUCAGAUUAGCUAGUUGGUGGGGUAAAAGCUUACCAAGGCGACGAUCUGUAGCUGGUCUGAGAGGACGACCAGACACACGGGAACUGAGACACGGUCAAGACUCCUACGGGAGGCAGCAGUGGGGAAUUUUGGACAAUGGGCGCAAGCCUGAUCCAGCAAUGCCGCGUGCAGGAUGAAGGCCUUCGGGUUGUAAACUGCUUUUGUACGGAGCGAAAAGGCUCUCUCUAAUACAGGGGGCUCAUGACGGUACCGUAAGAAUAAGCACCGGCUAACUACGUGCCAGCCGCCGCAGUAA